rnacentral:tRNA from 3 species
GGCUAGAUGGCCGAGCGGUUAUGGCGUGUGACUCAAGUUCUCAUGGGGUAACCCGCGGGGGUUCGAAUCCCCCUCUAGUCA